GCAAACAUUGGAUGAAGAAUGUGUAUUUUCAGUUUCAGAAGCUGAACAAAUAUGAAACAAUCUCUGGAAAAUGGAAUUUGAUUUUGAUUCAACAACAGGAGAAUUCUACUGUUUUUCUCCAGCAGCUCCACGAUAAAAGUGAAUUACACACUUCUUGAGGGUGGUGACAGAUAUUAUCUUUCAACCCUACUCAUCAUGAUGCAAUUGAAAAGUGGAUGAGUUGAUUUGCUGAAGGUUGAAUUCUUGCAGGAGGCAUGAUGAAGAAGAAAAGCUUCACUUCUCUGGAGACAGGAAGUCUGAAUUCUACUCUGUGGCUGCCACUUACAAGUACAUAGGAACUGAAAACAAGGACACCAUGUGAACUUGUAUGGCCACUUUCAACGCUGAGCAGUGGCAGAUGCUUUUGGGAACCCUGAGCAGAACACAUGCACAAACUCAUGCCAUACCCUAAGGGACAAGGUUCCCCACAUCUACUUGGAAAUCUUUGGGAUGCUCAAUGAUUAGCUCUUUGGAACUGAGAGAUGAGAUGAGGCCUGGAAAACUUCCCCCAGUACAGUCAAGUUCCUGUUGACUAAUUCUGUGACCACCAGUGACAGUCUUUGAGUCCGUGAGGCAGAGUUGCGGCAGCACAGGCUUUGCUUGGAGUUGGAUGGUUCGCACCCUGCUUGGCAUGGUUUCUAAGAGACAUCCUCUGAGUGGAUGAGGGGAGAAUCCAGCAGGCCUCUAGUCACACUGGACAGUUGCUCUGAUUCAUUUCUGGACUUCAGUGGAAGAAGCAGCCCUUAUUUAGGAUAUUGUUAGUCUUUGGCAGAGGGAAUACAAAGCAAUGGAAGGGUGAUGUGAUGGCUCCGAAAGCUUCUGUUGGAUGUAGAAUAUAAAGUUUGCUCACCUUUUUUAAUCCAAAGAGAAAAACAAGGAGAGAAAAAUCUAAACCCAGCAGAAGAGAAAGUUUAAGAAAGCGGUCGUCGCCAAUACCAAAAUUAGCUAUGAUAUUCAGGAAGAAAAAAAUGGAAACACGAUAACCACAGUCAAUAAAGACCAAGGCCACAUUCCAUUGACCAGAGCUCAGCCACGCGCCACACCUGGCUAAAGAGACUCUGGCUGAAGAAUUCCCUGAAUAUUUUAAUGUAGCUCUAGGUUAUAACACAGAACAACCACAAGGUGGCAGAAGAACUCCAUUCUUGUAAAUCUCUUAGUUGCUUCUUUAUUUCAUCUUCCCUAUUCCAUCUAAUGUUCCCUGAAUUUUACUAUUUUGUUGGUUUGAAAAUAUGUGUGACUUACGUCCUUUAAAGGAUUUGGUUCGUAAGGUUUUGAAUAGACUGGAAUAUAAAACAUUUAUAGAAAAGAAAAAUACCUACAGUAUGAUGUUAGUGAACUAUUAAUAAUCCAAUUAAAUAAAAUAUAUUUGCUUUGGAUUAAUA
rnacentral:lncRNA from 1 species